rnacentral:rRNA from 1 species
CAGCCUGUAAAGUCUGAAGAUCCCAUCGACAUCUUAAACAUAAAGCUAAAGCGUAUCAAAAUAUAUUUCAAAGGAUGGGGGGCUCACUCCUUUAGGCAUGCUAGGAAAAGGAAAAAGUACAUUAAAGAAGAACUGGAGAGAAUAGAAAAGAUGGAAGAAAAUGGCCCCCUUGGUCCAGAAAUUUAUGAAGAGAGAACUGCCUUGUGUGCAGAAUUAAACGAGCUCCUGAUUACGGAAGAGUUGUUUUGGUUACAACACUCCAAUGAGAGUUGGUUGCUCAAAGGAGAUCAAAACACGGCCUUCUACCAUAGAGUUGCAAAUGGGAGGAAGAGAAAAAAUACUAUUCACUCAUUCGCUGCGGGGGAGGUGGUGAUUGAGGGUACACAGAACCUACUAGCACACGCAACCUCGUUCUACAAAGAACUUUUUGGCCCUGCUAGGGGCAACAUGUUUCACUUAUCUGCUGAUACGUGGUCGGAAGAGGAAAAACUUAGUGAGGAAGAUAACAUCUUGCUCACUAGUGAAUUCACAGAGGAGGAGGUGAAGAGAGCUUUGUUCAGGAUGGGAUGUAACCGAGCACCAGGGCCGGAUAACAUCCCAGCAGAAUUCUAUAUGCACUGUUGGGAGUUUGUGAAAAAAUAUAUCAUGCACUUGUUCGAAGCUUUCCAUUCGAACAAGUUAGACAUAGCUCGUCUGAACUAUGGCAUUAUUACUCUAAUUCCCAAGAUGAAAGGAGCAAAGAAAAUACAGCAGUAUCGUCCAAUAUGUCUUCUGAGAUGCCCAUAUAAGCUUAUCACCAAGGUCUUAGAUAACCAGGUGGAAUGUUUGCUGAUAUUCUGA